GGAGGGAGGGACCGGCCGGCUGGCUCUCCUCCUCCUCCUCCUCUGUUUCUCUUUCUGCCGGAGGAGGAAGGGAGCAUCGAGCACGAUGGCCGCGGAGGAGCCCCAAGCCAAGAAGCCUAAGCUGGAGCCGGCCAGGCUGAGGUAUGGUUUGAAACCAAAUGACCAGAUCUUGGCAGAGGAGAAACACAAAGAGCUUGUUGGUCCAUGACCGUAAUAAAGAUGAACUUGAACUAGCCCAUGUUUGAAUAAUGGAUGAACACCAAUCAUCAUAAGCUGUACAGAAAUAGUUACAAAAAUAGUUACAGAAUUUAUUGGAUGUUUUUCCAUAUUGAGUUGAAGCUAGUGGAGGUAGCUUAUGGAGUGUAGUGGAAAGAAAGGCAUUAAUUUUGGGAUAGAAAUAAAAUCAGUGAUAUUAAAGAAAAACUUCAUCACUCAGUACAGUGACAACCCAAACAUUAUAUAUUGGACAACUUACAUGAGAACGAUAGAGGUCUUGAUGAACUUCAUAAAGGCUGCAAGAGGGGAUGACGGCACCUGGAAACAUUCACCAUCCCCUUGCAUGGCUCAGAAUAAAGAUCAUACAGACCAUGCUGUCUUGGAAUUAAUUUGCCUAGUUGAUAUGAAAUGAUGAAUUAAUUGUGCUAGAUGCCCACUGUGAGCUCUCUGUGGGAAAUUAUGUGGUGAAACAAAUAAAAAAAAUCAAUAACUUUAUUCAGGUUGCACAACAUUUUAGCUAGCGAAUGACCCAACAUCUCCUAGGAUGCAAAUAAUAUCAGCUUUGGCUGAUACGCCAGCUGUGACCCUUCUUGAAGCGACCUAGAAACAGUGGGUACACAUGCAAGUAACCUCUUGACUGGACUUCUGCAGCGUGCUCUACAUGGGGCUACCCUCGUGCCAAGUUUGGAAACUUCAAUUGCUAGAAAAUAUGGCUGCCAGAUUGGUCGCAGGUACAUCUAGAACCAACCAUAUAACACCUGUCUUGAAAUCUCUUCAGUGGCUGCCAAUUAGUUUUCGGGCACUGUACAAGGUGUUGGUUAAAAGUCCUACAUGGCCUGGGUCCAGACUAUUUGUGGGAGCACCUUCUUCCACAAAAUCUUCCCCGCACAUUAAGGUCCUCUGGGAAGAAUUUGCUGCAACCUGAAAAGACCAGACUGGCUGUGGUAACCCAGAGGGCCAUCUCAUCUGCUUCUGCCUCAAAUAAUAAACAAAAAUGUUACUCAUUACAUGCCACUGCCAUGAGGCUUUGGCAGCCUGUAAAGAACCUGUAAAGAAGCCUCGCUGCCUUAAUAAUCUGUGCAGCAUUAUCAUCUUUCAAGGGCCAUGGAAAGAAAUCCUGAAACACCUCUCCGGUGUCAUUGAAAGUUACUUAGAUGUUACUUAGCUGCCAGGAGAUCUGUGUAUCCGUGAUGAUAAAACCAUUGCACUUGCCAGGCAACAACUGUUUCCAAAAGGCAAGAGGUAUAUGCAAAUAGAAGUUCUCUUGAAUUCUACAUACUAAUUUUUAGGCAAAUAUUUGGCUGCAAAUAGACCAUGUGCCUCACUUGCUUUUCAACCGAUCUCUCUCAUGUUUUAUGAAUAGUCAGGACCAGGUUACUUUCUCUAUCCAUUGCCUGCCGGCCUAUUUGUUGGUGAAAACAAAAUGUAAGAUGUAUCUGUUUAAAAAUGAUUUGAAAUGGCUGGUUGCCUUCAGUUACAGUGUUACAUAUUUUUCUUAUUUUUUUAUGUCCAUGAUAACUGAUUUAUUUUGCAGGGCAUUUAUUUUAUGUUGCUUGCUCACAAUCUGUUCUGCCCAUUUGAAUUGACAUGAUAUUUUACACCAUGAGUUUUGGGUUUAAAGAAUAUUGAUGUGUCUCCUAUUUACAGUCAUAGCUAUGUAAAAACUGCCUAUUUCAUGCAUCACCUUGUAGAAAAUGAGUUGGAUAACAUGUAUAUGGUUGACUUGAAAUAGCUCUCUGGGAUGGUUAAAAAUGUGGUGGUGGUGGUGGUGGUGGUGGUGGUGGUGGUGGUGAUGAGGAUGAUGAUGAUUUUAUUUACUUAUAUCCUGCCUUUCUCCCAGUUUUAUUAUUAUUAUUUUUAAAAAAUUGUGCACAACAGUAUACUGCAUCAGUUGCUUUCAGCUUCAAAUAUCUUCAGCAUUUCAGAGACAUAGGAUAAAUAAUUGGAUUUUAACACCAUAACAGCAGUGUGGCAAGAUGCAUAUACUGAUCAUUUUUUUUCCUUUAAAAUUUUUGCAUUCCUUUUCAGCAAAUCAAAAUUUUUAACAUUGUUUUGGUUGUAAGUAAAACAUCAUGUUUAAAUUGAUUUCUGUACAUACGUUGUUUUUUCUAAACUUCAGCUACAUGUUGAUACAUAUGGAACCAAAUGUGUGAUGUGCAUUUUUUUACUACAUGUAUAUAAGCAGCCACAUAUAGUUUAAAUGAAUUACAUGCCUGCUUUUGUGAUUUGUAAGUAAAAAAGAUAACAUGAAUAUAAAAUAUACAGCAAUGAACCCAAGGA